UGUUUGCUGACGAUGCUCUGGUGUACGGGAUGGUGUCGAAGAUGCGACUGCAGUUUUCUUACCUCACAAGGCAUAUCCACACGUCAUUUUAAUAACAGAUAUAUUCGCACUGAGAACCAAUGAGAAAACAGAAGUGAACGCAGUGUAUCUGUAAGGCAGGGGCGAUGGUCAUCUGGAUUCCUGCUCAUGAAGACACCUGCUCAUUGGGACAAAUAUUCCAUGAAAACACCAUCCCACCUUGGAAGUACUCUGCAUACCACAGAACCCUGCCAUGCAAGACAAUUGUCAUGACAUCACUUGUCAAAGGAAACUCACAGAAUAAAUACAGAGCUAAUUGACAAAGGCUAAUAUGUAUUGUGAGCUAUGUUGAAGUCAUAUGCU